GAUGAACGCUGGCGGCGUGCCUAAUACAUGCAAGUCGAGCGAAUGGAUUAAGAGCUUGCUCUUAUGAAGUUAGCGGCGGACGGGUGAGUAACACGUGGGUAACCUGCCCAUAAGACUGGGAUAACUCCGGGAAACCGGGGCUAAUACCGGAUAACAUUUUGAACCGCAUGGUUCGAAAUUGAAAGGCGGCUUCGGCUGUCACUUAUGGAUGGACCCGCGUCGCAUUAGCUAGUUGGUGAGGUAACGGCUCACCAAGGCAACGAUGCGUAGCCGACCUGAGAGGAUGAUCGGCCACACUGGGACUGAGACACGGCCCAGACUCCUACGGGAGGCAGCAGUAGGGAAUCUUCCGCAAUGGACGAAAGUCUGACGGAGCAACGCCGCGUGAGUGAUGAAGGCUUUCGGGUCGUAAAACUCUGUUGUUAGGGAAGAACAAGUGCUAGUUGAACAAGCUGGCACCUUGACGGUACCUAACCAGAAAGCACCGGCUAACUACGUGCCAGCCGCCGCAGUAA
rnacentral:rRNA from 1 species